GUACUGGCUUCGGCAGCACAUUCACUAAAAUUGGAAUGAUACAGAGAUCAGCACGCCCCCGUGUAAGGAUCACACACAAAUUCGUCAAGCGCUCUGUAUUUAA